AUGGCCUUCAUUGAUAAUAGCAGGAAGCAAACGGAAAACAACCUGAUGGUAAAGGUCCUAAGACCGGAAGAUCUGAAGAUCAAAAGAAAAAGAAAACCAUCAGCCCUAAUAGCUGCAGCACAACACUCCAUACAAUCCAUCCUGAACAACCUAGCUCCAAGUCCGACGGUGAAAACUAGACAGGUCACGAAGGAUCACCGAACGAGCCAUCUGUCUCGCGUCAUCGUAUACCAUCGGCCCCACCGCAGCUUUGACUUCACAUCAACAGACAGUCGAGGCACUCACAUGGACGCGCCGGAGAAGAAGAAACGACUACCACGACCAAGGCCACGCCUUCGACAUUGCUCACCGCCGUCAUCAUUGCCACCGAAGCCACCGUGCACGUCCAGUCGUAGGAAACACCAAAGGGAUCAAAGUCUUCAAGACAUCGCCCUAAAGAGGGGAACAACGUUGAAGACGAUGCCACCGUCCGACCCUGCAGCAGGAUUUGAGUUUUCACAUAAGGACUUGAUCUGGGAGCAGGGUCGUGAGAUUUCCGACGACGCCUCCAAGGAGGAUAGCGACGCCCACAGGCACCAUCGCCGCCGGCCGGCUAGCAUCGGUCAGGCUUUCACCCGGAGCAGCCACUCCCACGCAGUAGACCGAGGUCGACCUGUACCUCCAUAA
rnacentral:rRNA from 1 species